GAUCUCUGUAGACCAGAAAGAGAAGAAAACUGGAGCAUGAGGAGCUGAAUGCUGCUGUUUCUCACCUUUGUGCUGCUGAUACAGACCUACUGCCAGCCCAGUGAAAGACUCAGCCUCCUGGGAAGGUUUUCUCAGCUCUUCCCUUUAGAGGGCGAUCCUACCACACACAUCUUCAGCGUGCGAACUUCUGCGAGCUGCAGUGCGAGGUGAAGCCGCCCAGAGGUCAGCAGAACAUGGUGCCUGUCCUGGAGCUCUGCAAACCUACGGACGUGAAGGGAGCUGCAGUCUGGUCUGGGCAGUUCUGGCUGAAUGUGUUCUGCUUCCUCAGGCAGUUGCCAAGCUGCUCCCAGAGGUUGUGAGUACAACUCCAACAGCCCCCGGAUCCUUGGAGAGCUGCCCACAGAAGGCAGAGGUUCGUGUGCCUUUCUUCCCGAAUUAACCACCAACACGUGUGUCACUGCUUUGCUGUUGACCCCACGCCUUUGCUGUUGCAUAAAGGCUGCAGUUUAGCACGGGCAGUGCCUUUGAUGUCAGGGCUUGGCCAGCACCUCGUGCUGUAGGAUCCCAGUUCAUCUCUGGGGCAUCUCUGCUUGGGAUCGAUGGUGUGAGUGCUCCCAGAGAUGCUUUUCUUUCCCGGCCCUGAGGUUCGUGGUUGGUGAAACUCAGCAGGAGCUGGGGAGCUCAGUGGAGUGUUGUGCCUGCAUGGGAGUGGGGCAGGAACCAGGGGCAGGAUGUGGGGGCUCCUAGUUUCCAGCCCAUUGCCUCUCCUUUCUCUUCUACAUCAGUAGCACUGCCAGCACCUGAUGCAUUAACACAGCAGAAACCCUAGAUAACCUCUGAAUACACAGCUGGUAAAGUGACUUUCAUUCAGCUUCUCACAGUUGAAGGGUGGGAGCAGAAUCCUGGCUGGGCUCCAGGCUGAGGGGGGACUUGGUGGGGAUCUGAAGCCCUGGGUACAGAGGGUUUGCUGGAGACCAGUGGCUGCUCUCCAGAUCCCAAGCCUGGGAGCAUCUGCCCCCAUGGGGAUCCUGGGGAAAGGGGCCAUUCUUCUUAGCAUGGGGUGGACCUUGGGCUGAGAAAAAGAGGUUGUGUCCUUGGUGGGGGGACCUAUGAGAACUGGGUCCCCAGAGAGCAGAGCAGGACAGUGUUCCCCAACAACCUGAUGUCUCAGCUCAGCCUCCAUCAGGGCUUGUUGCUGCCUGGUCCCACGUGCUCUGCUCCUGCCCAAUCCUGCUCAGACCCUGCAGUGUAUAUACCACCCCAGCACCCAGAGCUGGGUGUCACUGCUGGUCCUUGGCUGGCAUAGCCUGUGUGGCUAUAGAAAUAGGCUGUGUUUGCUUCCUAAUAUGUAUUCCUGCUUCA
rnacentral:lncRNA from 7 species